rnacentral:rRNA from 1 species
UACGUAGGGUGCAAGCGUUAAUCGGAAUUACUGGGCGUAAAGCGUGCGCAGGCGGCUAUGCAAGACAGAUGUGAAAUCCCCGGGCUCAACCUGGGAACUGCAUUUGUGACUGCAUGGCUAGAGUGCGGCAGGAGGGGGAUGGAAUUCCGCGUGUAGCAGUGAAAUGCGUAGAUAUGCGGAGGAACACCGAUGGCGAAGGCAAUCCCCUGGGCCUGCACUGACGCUCGAUGCACGAAAGCGUGGGAGCAAACAGG